GGUGGUUCUCGGGUGAUGCACCUGGCUCCCUCCUCUCUGGUUCUGGGGUGCAUCACCCAAGAACCGCC
rfam:Myotis brandtii contig231110, whole genome shotgun sequence.